rnacentral:rRNA from 1 species
AACGAACGCUGGCGGCAUGCCUAACACAUGCAAGUCGAACGAUGCCUUCGGGCAUAGUGGCGCACGGGUGCGUAACGCGUGGGAAUCUGCCUUUCGGUUCGGAAUAACUCAGGGAAACUUGAGCUAAUACCGGAUAACGUCGCAAGACCAAAGAUUUAACACCGAAAGAUGAGCCCGCGUAGGAUUAGCUAGCUGGUGAGGUAAAGGCUCACCAAGGCGACGAUCCUUAGCUGGUCUGAGAGGAUGAUCAGCCACACUGGGACUGAGACACGGCCCAGACUCCUACGGGAGGCAGCAGUGGGGAAUAUUGGACACUGGGCGAAAGCCUGAUCCAGCAAUGCCGCGUGAGUGAUGAAGGCCUUAGGGUUGUAAAGCUCUUUUACCCGGGAAGAUAAUGACGGUACCGGGAGAAUAAGCCCCGGCUAACUCCGUG